UACGUAGGGGGCUAGCGUUGUCCGGAAUCAUUGGGCGUAAAGCGCGUGUAGGCGGCCACGUUAGUCCGUUCUGAAAGCCCGGGGCUCAACCCCGGGAGGCGGAUGGAUACUGCGUGGCUCGAGUCCGGAAGAGGCGAGUGGAAUUCCUGGUGUAGCGGUGAAAUGCGCAGAUAUCAGGAGGAACACCAAUGGCGAAGGCAGCUCGCUGGGACGUGACUGACGCUGAGACGCGAAAGCGUGGGGAGCAAACAGG
rnacentral:rRNA from 1 species